rnacentral:rRNA from 1 species
AUGGGACGGAGCACACGUAACCCUAUAUGGUGUCAGAUAUGGAAGUUAUCUUGUCUGGCUAAAGUCAAAUUUUUAUGGCGGACAGUACAUGGUACUCUUCCAUGUCGGGCAACACUCACUAAUAGACACAUGAAGGUCUCACCCUUUUGUCCUACAUGCUCUCAGGAUGUAGAAGAUACGAAGCACUUGCUUUUCCUAUGUAGAAAAGCGAAGGAGGUUUGGAAAAGGCUAGGGUUGGAUAUGAUUAUUGAGAGAGCUUGUGAGAUUGAUCGUGCUGGGGAGGCAAUACUGGAAUACUUAUUACUCCUUCCAGAUCAAGAUCCGCGCAUUAUGGGGUACAAAAAUGUUCGAGAAAUGGUAGCUAUCUCUCCUUGGUAUCUAUGGUGGGAAAGA